rnacentral:lncRNA from 12 species
CAAUGUGAGUGUGAACGCGAAGUAACUUUUCAUUGGUUUCCCGAGCUGUCCAUCACCAAACCCCCCCCCCCCCCCCCCCCCCCCCCCCCCUCUCCGAUUGGUGCCAGCAGCUCUCAGGGGAUGUUCCAGAGACGGGAGAGCCCUCCCACUCCCCAGCCUCAUGGAGCCUCCCUCGGGCGAAUCCACCCCAUUCCCCCAGCGCGUGAAACCAACACAGGUGCCCAGUAAAGACUUUUCAACCUAUACAACAAGAUGUCAGACAUAUGGGACGUCUUCACAGACACAUUACACAAGUUUGGUUCCUCAAGGCCCAGUGAAGAAUUAAUCAAUAAUUAAAGACUACAUACUCCAUUGAAGAGUGAGCCUUACGGACCCAAAGGCUUGUAGAACCUUUCUGAACAGACAUCCCACCAAUAUAAAGUAAUUUUUAACUGAUCUUGUGUUCCUGUGAACACCAUUUUGUGUUUGUAAGGCAAGAAUAU